UACGGAGGGGGCUAGCGUUGUUCGGAAUUACUGGGCGUAAAGCGUACGUAGGCGGCUUUGUAAGUUAGAGGUGAAAGCCCGGGGCUCAACUCCGGAAUUGCCUUUAAGACUGCAUCGCUUGAAUCAUGGAGAGGUGAGUGGAAUUCCGAGUGUAGAGGUGAAAUUCGUAGAUAUUCGGAAGAACACCAGUGGCGAAGGCGACUCACUGGACAUGUAUUGACUCUGAGGUACGAAAGCGUGGGGAGCAAACAGG
rnacentral:rRNA from 1 species